rnacentral:misc_RNA from 1 species
UCCGAGUUGACCCCGGCAGUCUCCUACGAGUCCCCGGCAUUACCCGCUGGCAACAUAGGACAAGGGUUGCGCUCGUUGCGGGACUUAACCCAACAUCUCACGACACGAGCUGACGACAACCAUGCACCACCUGUACACCGACCUUGCGGGGAGACUGUUUCCAGCCUUUUCCGGUGUAUGUCAAGCCUUGGUAAGGUUCUUCGCGUUGCCUCGAAUUAAGCCACAUGCUCCGCCGCUUGUGCGGGCCCCCGUCAAUUCCUUUGAGUUUUAGCCUUGCGGCCGUGCUCCCCAGGCGGGGUGCUUAAUGCGUUAGCUGCGGCACGAACGGCGUGGAAUACCGCUCACACCUAGCACCCACCGUUUACGGCGUGGACUAC